CCGCCGACCCGAGCCGGGCUGCAGCCCCCGCUCCGCGAAGCCUCCCGGCCGCCGCCCCGAAGCUGCCCGGCGCACGAGUCUCCGCCGAGUGCCUGCGCGCCCCGAGCAGCCGUCGAGUUACAACCAAGAAUGCCUGUGGAGCCAGUUGGUUUUCCUGGUGGGGAAAGGAUGGGCUGAGCAUUAGGCUCCUGGUCAGGAAACUGUUGGCUGGAACAGUGUGGCAUGCACUGCCUACCGUCACCCUUCUCUCCAUGACCAUGAUCAGAAUAUCCAAUCAGCCUGUAUCCUUGAGCAUUGGAGUAUCCAAUAUGCUUUGGUGGAGAUCUUGAGGGGGACUGCUUUUCUUUGAGGAGGUGACAUUUAAGCUGAGUCUCAAGCACCAAAGCUACUGCAUUCACCUAAAAUCUUUCUCUUCAAACCCUAAGCUGCUAAUAAGAUGCUAAAUAAGGAUCUAAGGCAGUGAUUCAAAGUGGCACUUACUUUAAGUAAUCAGUGAUUUCAUACUAUUGCAGCUAACUAAUCUUCUGAUCUAGGAUAAGUUGCUUAAACUUUGUAAAAUAGGAAAAAUAAUGCCAGCUUCUAAAGGAUUAUUAUCGGAAUGUCUUCAGCCUUCCAGGCCUUUCAGAGGCGAAAGAAGGCUUCAGUUCCAGUUGCUUAUGGUACUGAGUGUGCAGAGCUCAGCCAGGCCUGUUGUACAGACUGUACAUUCGUUCAUUUAUAGACUCUCACCUGGACCCCACAAGGCAGCUAGUUAUCACACCUUUCGAAAAUGAGAAAACUAAAGUGCUGAGAAGUUUAAGUAACUUGCCCAAGGUUACCUAGCCAAUAAGUGACAGUGCUGGGUUUUGUCUCUGAGUUCUAGACUCUGCUCUGUCCCUGGGGAAGGUCUUGUCUGCCCCAGCUGGCUCAGUGGUCCCCUAGCCUCAGCCGUGGGUGGGCCCAUGUGUCUCAAGGCAAAUGUGAGCAAAAUAGCAGUGCCCCCCACACACACCCCCCCCCGCACCCCAACUACUUAUGGAAGAUGAUUUGAGAGAAAAAUAUUGUUAAUAGAUGUUUUUUGCUUUUUUUUUUAAGGGAUGAAUCAUUGUGAAUGUGUGGGAGUAAGAAUUCAGUUCCUAUCUUAAAAUAGUUCUAAAUUCAGUUCUAACUUCAAAAUAGAGUAGAAAACAUUGUCAGUGCAUCUUUGAGGAAAAAGAAAAUUUACUAAUUUUAAAAUUUACUAAAAAUUUACUCGUUUACUAAAAUUUUAGUAAAAUACAUUAGAAUUUACUAAAAAGUUUUAGUAAAAUUUAUAGAAGAAUAAUUAGAACUGGGUUGCCGCUGAAAACUCUUAAAUGCACCUCAGAUUUUUCUAAUAUCUUUUCCAUGGCACUUGUAUAUCAUGUUUUGGACACACGCGCUCACAGGAAUGGCCAUAAAUACUUGAAAAUAGAGAGAAGGCCAGGCCAUGGUGGGGACACAGGCUGCUUGAGCUCAUUAAUGCAGAGUUUACCACCCUUGACUGUUAUUUUUAACCAACAGCCCCAGUCCUUUGGGGGUUUUGGUGCCAGGUGCAAAAUACUGACCAAGACCCAAAACCAGAGAUUUUCUCACCCCACAGAAAGGCAACAAGAAUUAAUUGAUAUUUUCAGUUUUAUCCUUAAGCCUUGCUGCAUAUAAUUUUUCAGCAAAGGAAAACAUCUGGCUUGUAACACUAUUUCUUGAAAAGAAGGACAAAUAAUCCAUUUCCAGCAAUAGAGAAGUGGUUAAAUGAUGGCACAGCACAUCUGUGGGGGACUUCCUUGGGGGUCCGGUGGUUAAGACUUCAUACUUCCAUUGCAGGGGCCGUGGGUUUGAGCCCUGGUUGGGGAACUAAGAUCUCACAAGCUAUGUGGUGCAGCCGAAAGAAAAAAACAAGUAGAUAAAAAUAAAAUUUCAGUUUAAAAGAAAGAUGUUUGGAGCCAUGACAUUGGAAGAACUGUGAGUGACAGGCAGGAAUGCAUGUUAUAAUUGCUACUGACCGAAUGGACUCACCUUCUCAGAUAGGUUGUCUUGUCUUAUCGCUCUUCCCCACUCCCUUCUGAAGGGGCUCCUUUUGGUUUCCGCCCUCAACGCUUCUCCAGAGAUAACUAGUGACUUUAUGUGGUUAAAGCCAAAGGUCAUUGUUCACUUCUCAUCUUGAGAACAUUCAGCAUCGUUAUCCUAUUUCAUUGAUCAGUUCCUUAGCAGUUUCUUUCUGGAGGUGGAAGACACUGCAUCGAAUGUUCAGGGACAUUUUAGGACAUAACAGCCUACAGUUGCUUGUAGAAUUUCAUAUUGUUUCUUCUUGGUAUUACAAAUAAAAUGUGAGCCUUUACCUCUUCACAUUGAGAAUCUUACGAUUCUAAGGCUGAGCAUGCCAGACAUUUAGCCAAGCCUGUUCCUUUCAACCUUUAGAGUUCACAGUGUAAUUUUUAGGCUCAUCCAAGAGUUAGUCCAUCCUAAAGGAAAUCAGUCCUGAAUAUUCAUUGGAAGGACUGAUGCUGAAGCUGAAACUCCAAUACUUUGGCCACGUGAUGUGAAGAACUGACUCAUGUGAAAAGACCCUGAUGCUGGGAAAGAUUGAAGGCAGGAGGAAAAGGGGACGACAGAGGAUGAGAUGGUUGGAUGGCAUCACCGACUCAACGGACAUGAGUUUGAGUAAACUCCGGGUGUUGGUGAUGGACAGGGAGGCCUGGUGUGCUGCAUUCCAUGGGGUCUCAAAGGGUCAGACAGAAUUGAGCGACCUAACUGAAAAAAGUCAUGAAUUUUAAAAAUAUUUCUUAUUUGCUUAAAUACAAAGAUUUAUUUUUCUUUAUUGUCUUAAAUAUUUUUGGAAGUGAAACAACUUUUGAUUUCCAAUUACAAGUGUUUAAUAGGUAGGCCUUUGGUACCUAAAUGAUAAUUCUUCAUGAUACAUAAAUCUGUGAAAUCCAUCUCUUUUGAGUUUGAAAAUUACAGCCUGAGCUCUCUAGUAAUUUCUGCUGCCAUGAAUUGCAUGUCCUGGUCUAUGAAUGUCAGUCUUCACCAGACCUUAAUUUUACAUUUCAGUGCUGCAUCACUGUGAAUUUUUUUUAAGCUUUUUAUUUAUUUUUAAUUGUAUUUUUAUUUAUUUAUUUUUUGGUUGUGCGGCAUGCAGGAUCUUAGUUUCCCAACCAGAGAUUGAACCCAGUGUAACGGAAGUGUGGAUUCUUUUUUUUUUUUUUUUUUAAUUGGAAACAGAAUAAUCAAACAAAAUCUCAUUUACUUCAGUAGCUCCAAGUGCAAAUACAGCAAGCCAAUACAUAGUUUCAGGACACUGCUUUAAGUACAAAGAAAACUUGAUAUGCAAAAAUGAAAGGGUAAAUAGCAGAAAUAAAGCUCUUUUUUAAAAAAGUUCAAGUAACCUGAAAACCUCUAGACUGAAAUAGUCUUACAUCAAUUCAUAAAUGCCUUAAUUUAUAGAUAACAGUGGUACAUUGUAAUCAAAAAGGACUUCCCAAAGAGUCACUUCAAACUGGUCAGCUCCAAAUAAGAAGAAAUUCCUGGCACUGGCUGUUCUGGAUUCGGCACUCACUCAUACUGUACAGACUGGUAUGGUUCAAUCCAUGGCGUUUGGUUUUUAAUACAAAUUCCAAAAAGGUAUUUAAAGUUCAAUAGGAGGCCAACACCACUAGCAAGAGUUCCUGAAAUGGCCACUAUAUAUUUAAAAGGUUUAAAGACCAAUUUUGGCUUCAGGCCUAUGGCACAAUGUUGGGGGAAAGACUUCAAUUAAUACUCCUUCCAUUACUUAAAUCCUUUUUGUAAGAUUAGCAAAAAGGCCCUUAAAACUUCCUCAGGAAAACUGUAUUUAAAUAUAUGAAAGCUCCCACUAAGAAAUUAAUUAAAAGUUGUUGAUAUUCUUUUUAAUCACUUAGUGGCCAAGUCAUCUGUUUAUUUCUGCUCCCCAGAAGCAAUGUUAGCUACUAGCUUCAAUUCAAGAAAUGCAUAUUUUCCGGAAGGUUUAUAUGAGAUGCUUAUUCAGUCUUUUACUUUCUUCAUCUUCUCAUUGUAGGCAUUAAAUUGAGAGUCUGUUCCAAAAAUUCUGUCCCACCGUGUAAAUGUUGAAGCAUAGUUUCCAAUGAAGUUCAUGUGGUGCAAAUUGUGAUGCCGAGAACCAGCAUAGAAAGGACUGAGAUUUAAAGGGUUGAGAGGAAUGUCAUAACCACUAUGGACAUCAACAGUCUCUAUCAAAUGAACAGUCACCCAGGCCCAAAGAAGAAUAACAUGAUCACAUAAAUGUAUGAUUCCAAUGAAAAAUCCAGUUCUAAGAAUUAUGGUUUCCAGAGGAUGUGCAUAUUCAGCUUCCAUUCUAAAUGGAGCCUGAAUCUCAUGAUGAAUUUUAUGAAUAUGUUUAUAUAUUCUUUUGUUAUGUAAAAGCCUAUGCAAGAAGUAGUGCCAAGUAUCCUCGAUCACUGCACAGCCAAAACAUCUUGCCAAAAGCAUGUACCAUCUUGGCAUUGUUCCCCAAUCAUAGGGAAUACUGAAAUACUCUGUAAAAUAAUAAGUUCCACACGUCAACGGAAGCUGGAUACAAAAGUGAUUAAAGAGAAGCACUUUAAAAUGUUUCCAUUGGUUUUCCCAUGUUUCUGGUUUAUCCUUUUGAAUUUUGUACUUUUUCAUGUAAGGUAUAAAUUGAAACAAAGAUCCAGGUAAACAGAACAAGAAAUAAAGGACCUCUUGAACUAUGAGAGAUCCCCACGUUGCAAUCUGGAACUUUGUAUAAUUAUUCAACAUAUAGUUCCAAGCAUUUUAAAAUGGUUCCUGCAGAGGAUUCUCAGGCAAAAGUGAAUCUACCUAUUCCACAGCCAAGGAUGCUGAACUGAAGACACUGAUACUUUCAUUUGUUGCCAUUUUUCAAAUCUUUGCAGAUAGCCUUAUUAUUCUUGUGCGCCACCCAGUCUGCAGCCGCCGCCUCCAGAGCUGUGCUAGGCGCUGCCACUCAAUUUUUUUUUUAAAUUUAUUUUUUAUUUGGAAGAAAAUUGCUUUACAAUGUUGUGUUGGUUUCUGCCCUAUGACAGUGCAAAUCAGCUUUCCUUCCCUCCGGCAUCCCACCCUUCUGGGCCAACACAGAGCGCCAAGCUGAGCUCCGUGUGUUGUAUAGCAGCUUCUCACCAGCUGUCGACUUCACACAUGGUGGGGUACCUGUCGAUGCUGCUUUCUUUGUCGCACUUUUUCCUUCCCCCACUGUGUCCACAAGUCUGUUCUCUGCAUCUGCAUCCCUUCCCUGCAAAUAGGUUCAUUAAUACUGUUUUUCUAGAUUCCAUAUACAUGCAUUAAUAUACGAUGUUGGUUUUCCAACAUCUUUCUGACUUAACUUCACUCUGUAUAACAGGUUCUAGCUUCAUCCACCUCUCUAGAACAGACUCAAAUUGCUACAGUAUCAAGACAGAAUGAUACUGGUACAAAAACAGAAAUAAAGACCAGUGGAGCAAGAUAGAAAGCCCAGACAUACACCCACACACAUACAGGCACCUUAUCUUUGACAAAGGAGACAAGAAUAUACAGCGGAGAAAAAAACAGCCUCUUCAAUAAGUCAUGCUGGGAAAACUGGACAGCUACAUGUAAAAGAAUGAAACUAGAACACUUCCUAACACCAUACACAAAAAUAAACUCAAAAUGGAAGUGUGGAUUCUUAAGCACUGGACCACCACGGGAAUCCUUGAUAACUUUCUAAAUGAAGUGUGUCUUCUACUACCAAUGGAGAUAACAAAUAAAAUGACGAUAAGAUAAAAAGACACCUUUUCUGUUCCACUCAGUUGACACGUGUGUGGUUAAGGAAUACUAUGUCAUAGCUGAUUACUACUGGUGGUAGCCAGAUUUCAUACUCGACUGUAGGAAUCAUGGCUUCAGAAGUAUUUGAAUGUCAACAUAUGUUUUUGAGUUGAAGAAAUAAGUUGCCUUUAGUUUUUCUUUUGGUUUCAGUGAUUUUUUUUUACAGUGUACAGUAAUCUGUGUGUCUAUUUUGCUGUAAGAAACAACUCAUAAAGCUGGCCAACCAGUCUCAGAGUGUUGUGGCAGAUUCAGCCCCGAGGAGCUGUUUCCUGCUUUCUAAGCAAAGCCUGGAACAUGUGUUCUGCUGGGGACUAUUCCAUGCAUCUCAGGGGACAUGUCUGGUUCCUUUUACUCCAGUGAUGGCCUAGGUCACGACUCUUCAUUCUUAGGAAUCCUUAGGAAAUAUCCCCUCUGCUCUCCUGCAAAUUAAAAAGCCAUCUGACACUAAUAUUCUCAUGCUUGGAUAUUUAAGAAUUUCAGCAAUCGCUCAGGGAAAUCCUCCUUGAACUAGAACACGCUGGUCUUCACCGCCAAAGCAAAACUGAGAAAUUGAAGCCAAAGUGUUUUGAGCUCUUUCCCUUCAUCCUUUUCCACUUUCAACUAGGAGUUGGAAGAAGGGAAUAUUACUGUUUUAAAAUCAUGCAUCAAAAUCUUGUGAUUACCAGAUAAUUUCUGUUUCCACCUGUUUGUUGCGCACAGCGUUAAGUCCCAGGCGGCCCCUCCCUUUCUACCUAUCCUAAGGGGUGGAAGUCAGGACCAUGGCCAGAUAGGGACCCUAGCUUAGCACAGUGGAGCAGGGAGAUGCUGUGACAGCGCCCACAGUCAUGUCUAUGAAGACAAAACCCCAUUCUGGAGUCUUUAGACGCUCUGAUGUGAAAGAGCCUCCCUUUGAGCUGAGAUGUUGCUGCGUGAAAUCCUGCUUCAGUUUGGCUUCCUAUGCCACGUGUGCCUUUUUCUCCUCUUACAUUUCCUUGGUGCCUGUGACCAUGUGUCACCUCUAGGCAGAUGCGCUGCGAGUGUCCAAGUGUACUUUGCACCUACAUUUUUCUUUCACUACAUCUCCCAUGCUGUGACUUUCUGACUGUGUGGCUUAUUUUCUGCAUAAGGCAGGAGCAAGCAGCCCAAUGGAAGAGACAGGACUUGAGUUUGAGUCCUGUCCUGUGUGAUCUCGGGCCUGUCACUCAAACUCCUAAGCAGAAGCUCUUCAUCUGUGAAGAUGGGAGCAAGUAGAGUUAUCCAUCCCCACAGGGUUUUAUGAUAAUUCGAUGAGAUAACAAAUCAGCUCUGCUCAGGAUAGAUUUUUUUUUCUUUUGUAUUGUCUUUGCCAGCAUCUCACAUUUCAUUCUCUCCUUGUUCCUCUUUCUCUCUUUUUUCGUCUUGGCUUUUUUUUUUAAAGGAGUACCAUUCUAUUUAUUUAUUUAGUUUAUCUUUUCAUUGCUCUGGGUCUUUGUGGCUGCGCACAGGCUUUCUGUUGCUGCAGUGAGCUAGGGCUGCUCUUCAUUGCAGUGCGUGGGCUUCUCAUUGCAGCGGUUUCUCUUGUGCAGCACAGGCUCUGGGCACACGGGCUUUAAUAGUCGGAGUAGUUGGGCUCAGUAGUUGUGGCACGUGGGCUUUAGUUGCUCCGAGGCAUGUGGAACCUUCCCAGACCAGGGAUCGAACCUGUGUCCCCUGCCUUGGCAGGCGGAUUCUUCUCUGUCCCACCAGGGAAGUCCCUGCUUUGCUUUUUAAAAUUCAGAUCCACCGGACUUGAAAGAGUUUGGUUCUUUCCCUCCUCCUCAACUUUUUCUGUUGAAAAGUUUCAAUACUUCAACAACAACAAAAAAGUAAGAAUAGUGCAACAGACAGCCGUAUUCCCAUCGCCCAGAUUCACUCAUUGUUUACAUUUUACAGUGUGUGCUUUAUGUUUUUCACCAUUUAUCUCUUAAGAGCAAAGACCUUCUCAAACACAAACCACAGUUAUCAUACCCAAGAAAUUUAACUGAUUUAAUCAUUUUUUGAUACACAGUUCAUAUUCACAUUUUCCAGAUUAUCCCAAUAACGUCUUUCCCCCUGCGCCGCCCCCCCAACUCUGAAGAGUCUAGACAAGUCAUUUUGUUUGUUUUGCAGAAAGUCCCUCAGUGGAGAUUUGUUGGAUUGACCCCUCCAGACUAGACUCCAGCAAAACACUCUGGUGCGUUAGUGUAGAGGUGAUGCUGCGUUCGGGGAGCCUUACCACAAGGGCAGUGAUGUCAGGCUGUCCUAUCAGUGAUAAUCCUAAGUCUUUGAUUAUUUGGUUAAAAGUGUGCCCACCAGAUUUUUCCAUUUAAAGGUAUUACCUUUGAAAGCAUUAAAAAAUACUCUUUUGUCACUUACUGUUUCCAAGUUCUGUUGAACGUUUUGGGGUCUUAUUCAUGCAUCUCACCUCUCACCUACCUGGAGCUUGACUUAGCAUUGCAUCAUCUUUUUUCUUUCCUUUCCUUCUCUUUUUUUCUCUCUUUUCUUGACUGUACCUCAAGGCUUAUGAGAUCUUAGUUCCCCAGACCUGGUCCAUUGGCGAUGAAAGUUCAAAGUCCUAACCACUUGGACCCCCCAGGGAAUUCCCUCCUGUUCAUUCUUACCACCCACUAUGGUGGCUGUAGAAACGUUUCCCUUCUCUUUUCUUUUUUAAAAAUAUUUUUGGCCACACUGUGUGGCAUUCGGGAGGUUAGUUCCUUGACUAGGGAUUGAACCUCACUCCUUGCAGUGGAAGCACAGAGUCUUAACAACUGGACCAUCAGGUAAGUCCCCAGUUCCCUUUUCUUAUCUGUCUCCCCCUUCAUCGUUUCUCCUCCACUGCUUCCCCUUGAGGCCAUUCAGCCAUUCAGGGAAGACUUUUGCAGGUCUUCUGUGACCAAGACAGGCACUGUGUUUGGCGCUAGGAACGCAGAAGUAAUCCUUGCCCUCAUGAAACUUAAAUGAGUGUAUUGCAUUUUACACUUUUUAUUCAUCCAUUCAUGUGACAAGUAUUCACUCAUUGUCUAUCGUGUUUCUGCAUCGCUCAGCUUCCUGGGAACCCAAGAAACAAAAACAGUCAAAUCCCUGCCCUCACGGAGCUUACAUUCUAGUUGAUAAGUGGAAGUGAAAGUUCAUGGGGUUGCAGAGUCAGACACGACUGAGUGACUGAUCAUGAUGGGUAAAAUAGAUAGCUAGUUGGAGCCUGCUAUAAGGUGCAGGAAGCUCAGCUCUGUGGUGACCUAGAGGGGUGGGAUGGGGCUGGGGUGGAGUAGGAGGGGAUAUAUAUAUACACACAUAUGGCUGAUUCAUUUCAUUUUAAAGCACUUAUACUCCAAUUAAAAAAUUUUUAAAUUAAAUAUAUCAAAAUUAGAAAAAAUAAAGAAACCAUGGUUACCAAAGGGGAAAAGGGAAGGGGAGGAUGAAUCAGAAAUUUGGGAUUAACAGACACACACUACUAUAUAUAAAACAGAUAAACAGCAAGGACCUACCGUAUAGCACAGGGAACAAUAUUAAAUACCUUAACCUAUAAUGGAAAAUAACCUGAAAAAUAAUACAUAUACAUGUGCAUUAUAUGUAAUACGUGUAUAUACUAUACAUAUAUAUGUAUAAGCUGAAUCACUGUGUUGUACACCUGAAAUAUCGCAGUAAGUCAACUGCAUUUCAAUUUUAAAAGAACGUGGGUGUGUUAGUUGCUCAGUCAUGUCCGACUCUUUGCGACCCCAAAGGCCCACCAGGCUCCUUUGUCCAUGGGAUUCUCC
ensembl:lncRNA